rnacentral:tRNA from 1 species
GCCUCGUUACUUUAGUUGGUAGAGCGUUAUACUUUUAAUCUAACGGUCAGGUUUUCGAGUCCCCUACGGGGCU